rnacentral:rRNA from 1 species
AGAGUUUGAUCAUGGCUCAGAUUGAACGCUGGCGGCAGGCCUAACACAUGCAAGUCGAGCGGUAGCACAGAGAGCUUGCUCUCGGGUGACGAGCGGCGGACGGGUGAGUAAUGUCUGGGAAACUGCCUGAUGGAGGGGGAUAACUACUGGAAACGGUAGCUAAUACCGCAUAACGUCGCAAGACCAAAGUGGGGGACCUUCGGGCCUCAUGCCAUCAGAUGUGCCCAGAUGGGAUUAGCUAGUAGGUGGGGUAACGGCUCACCUAGGCGACGAUCCCUAGCUGGUCUGAGAGGAUGACCAGCCACACUGGAACUGAGACACGGUCCAGACUCCUACGGGAGGCAGCAGUGGGGAAUAUUGCACAAUGGGCGCAAGCCUGAUGCAGCCAUGCCGCGUGUGUGAAGAAGGCCUUCGGGUUGUAAAGCACUUUCAGCGGGGAGGAAGGCGAUAAGGUUAAUAACCUUGUCGAUUGACGUUACCCGCAGAAGAAGCACCGGCUAACUCCGUGCCAGCAGCCGCGGUAAUACGGAGGGUGCAAGCGUUAAUCGGAAUUACUGGGCGUAAAGCGCACGCAGGCGGUCUGUCAAGUCGGAUGUGAAAUCCCCGGGCUCAACCUGGGAACUGCAUUCGAAACUGGCAGGCUAGAGUCUUGUAGAGGGGGGUAGAAUUCCAGGUGUAGCGGUGAAAUGCGUAGAGAUCUGGAGGAAUACCGGUGGCGAAGGCGGCCCCCUGGACAAAGACUGACGCUCAGGUGCGAAAGCGUGGGGAGCAAACAGGAUUAGAUACCCUGGUAGUCCACGCCGUAAACGAUGUCGAUUUGGAGGUUGUGCCCUUGAGGCGUGGCUUCCGGAGCUAACGCGUUAAAUCGACCGCCUGGGGAGUACGGCCGCAAGGUUAAAACUCAAAUGAAUUGACGGGGGCCCGCACAAGCGGUGGAGCAUGUGGUUUAAUUCGAUGCAACGCGAAGAACCUUACCUGGUCUUGACAUCCACAGAACUUNUUGGUGCCUUCGGGAACUGUGAGACAGGUGCUGCAUGGCUGUCGUCAGCUCGUGUUGUGAAAUGUUGGGUUAAGUCCCGCAACGAGCGCAACCCUUAUCCUUUGUUGCCAGCGGUUCGGCCGGGAACUCAAAGGAGACUGCCAGUGAUAAACUGGAGGAAGGUGGGGAUGACGUCAAGUCAUCAUGGCCCUUACGACCAGGGCUACACACGUGCUACAAUGGCAUAUACAAAGAGAAGCGACCUCGCGAGAGCAAGCGGACCUCAUAAAGUAUGUCGUAGUCCGGAUUGGAGUCUGCAACUCGACUCCAUGAAGUCGGAAUCGCUAGUAAUCGUAGAUCAGAAUGCUACGGUGAAUACGUUCCCGGGCCUUGUACACACCGCCCGUCACACCAUGGGAGUGGGUUGCAAAAGAAGUAGGUAGCUUAACCUUCGGGAGGGCGCUUACCACUUUGUGAUUCAUGACUGGGGUGAAGUCGUAACAAGGUAACCGUAGGGGAACCUGCGGUUGGAUCACCU